GCCCCAGCUGGGCGCAGCAGGCAGGCGGGAGACAGCGGUGCUGUCUGAUAGAGAAGACACUCGAAGCCCAGAGAGGUGAAGCAGUUCCCUCAAGGACACACAGCAAGGAAGCCGCUGCCCCAGGACUCAGCUCAGGUUUGUGUAACCCCAGGACCGUGUUCCUUGUCAUGGGCAGGGAGAGGCCCCAGGCAGCCUAGUGACUCCAGAGCAGCAGCACCAGCCCCUGACGGACAGUGCGCAAUCCUGGAUCUGAGAGAGAGAUCAUCUUGCAAGGAUGCCUGCUACACAAACAUUCUUGAAAAGACAAUCCAGAAAGAAAAAGGUGUUGCUGUCUUUUCUCAGAAGACACACAGAUACGUGACAGAACCAUGGAGAAUUGCCUCCCAACACUGUUCAGCCAGAGUCUUCCACCCUUGUCUGCAGGGCAAUCUCAACGUUCCACCAUUAAAUACUCUUUCUAUC